rnacentral:lncRNA from 1 species
GUGAAAUCAGGUAUGGGAAAUCUUUUUAUAAUUGAGGCAUGUUUAGUUUAGAAUCCUAUUGACACUUGGGUGUUGGAUUCAGAAACAACUAAUCAUAUUUGUAAUUCACUUUAUUGGUUUCAGGAAACCAGGAAAAUAAGUGAAGGAAGCGUCAAGCUGCAGUUAGGGACAGGACAGUUCGUGUCAGCAGUGAAGACUGGAUCUGUUUUAUUAUCUUUUAAUAAUGAGACUUUAGUUUUGAAUAAUUGUCUUUAUGUUCCAGACAUUAAGAGGAAUUUAAUUUCAGUAGCUUGUUUGUCAAAGCAAGGGUACACUGUAAAUUUUGGAUCCUCUGUUUCUAUUUUUCAUAAUAAGAGACUUAUUUGUUCUGGUACAUUGGAAGAUAAUUUAUAUCAUUUAAG